ensembl:lncRNA
GGACCAGACACCGUAGAUGCAGGGGCCAGGGGUGGCAGUCAGGGGGCCGCUGGCACAGUUCCGGAUAUUACAGCAUUUCCAAACACUGGCUUUGUGUGUUUGGCUGAAUGGGGUGGAGCUACUGGGGAUUUGUGCGCCUGGGUGUCAUGUCCCAAACAUACGCCAUAGGGUUAUUUGCAUAUUUAUUGUUGAAGGCAACAGUGGAUGUGUCUGGGGUCCCUCCAGACUCCACCCUCCCUGGACACUCCCGGGCCUGGCUUGUCUCUGGAGGAUCUCUCUCCUGGGGACCCCCUGACCACCUCCCAAGGUUGGCUUCAUGUCUUGGCCCUGUUCUCCCUUCCUUCAACACCCUUAGCUUCGCAAAGUCCUUAAGGGAACUGCUAACCCAAGACCAUCUAGACAAAGCAGGAAAUGGCACAGAAGGAGACUCUGACAGGCCCUAUUGAGUCAUUUAGGAGUUGCGGCUAGCUCUGAGUAACAGACCUGAAUGGCAGUGGCUUGAACAAGAUAGGGAUUUAUUCCCUCUCCGUAGGAGGAAAGCCUGAGGCUAACGACAGGGCUGGCUUCUAGCCUCAAGGCCAUCUUACUGGCAGAGCGUAGCCACCACAGCUCCAGCUAUCACAUUCCAGUUCCAGGCAGAAAGGAAGAAAGAUGGACUCAGUCCCCUUUUAAAGGAACUGUCCUGGAAUUCCUACCCAAGAACUUAAUUUAUAUCCUGCUGGCCAGAAUUUGGUUAACUUCCUUCUGUCUCCAAGUAAUGCUGGUGUGAUUUCAUCCAAGUGGCUAAGACUCCACACUCCCAAGGCAGGGGGCCUGGGUUCAAUCUCUGAUCAGAGAACUACAUCCCACAUGCCAACUAACAGCAUUCUGCAAGUGAAGAUCCUGCAUGCUGCAACCCUGAUCGAAGCUCCCGAGUGCCGCAGAUGAGACCCAGCACAGCCAAAUACACGCACACAUACAAACUGCUCUUGCCUCUUCUGUGAAGUCUUCCAUCCUUACCCCGCAGUCAUCUGUUCUCUGGGGCUCCUUGGAGCCUUCAUGGACCCCCUGCGAGAAUGUUAUCUACCCCCUCCACCUCCAUCUGAUGCAGGAGAAACACUGAGGCUCAGAGAGGAGAUGGACUUGCCCAAACUUCGCAGAGGGAAAGGGGCAAGGAUGGAGGUGGAAGGGCCUGAGCUACACUCUGCUGGCAAGGGUCUUAGAUGCCGAGGUCGGGCUCUACCCUGUGGGGUCAGCCCCUGGAGACCAACGUUCAUCCCGGGGACUGCUGUCCUCAUGCACAAAUACUGUCACCCAUUU